rnacentral:rRNA from 1 species
AUUGAACGCUGGCGGCAGGCCUAACACAUGCAAGUCGAGCGGAGCGGCGGACGGGUGAGUAAUGCCUAGGAAUCUGCCUGGUAGUGGGGGAUAACGUACGGAAACGGGCGCUAAUACCGCAUACUAUUAGAUGAGCCUAGGUCGGAUUAGCUAGUUGGUGGGGUAAAGGCCUACCAAGGCGACGAUCCGUAACUGGUCUGAGAGGAUGAUCAGUCAAACUGGAACUGAGACACGGUCCAGACUCCUACGGGAGGCAGCAGUGGGGAAUAUUGCACAAUGGGCGAAAGCCUGAUGGAGCAAUGCCGCGUGAGUGAAGAAGGUCUUCGGAUUGUAAAGCACUUUAAGUUGGGAAGCGUUACCAACAGAGUAAGCACCGGCUAACUACGUGCCAGCAGCCGCGGUAAUAC